rnacentral:misc_RNA from 1 species
GAUGAAGAACGUAGCGAAAUGCGAUAAGUAGUGUGAAUUGCAGAAUUCAGUGAAUCAUCGAAUCUUUGAACGCACAUUGCGCCCUUUGGUAUUCCAAAGGGCAUGCCUGUUCGAGCGUCAUUUGUACCCUCAAGCUUUGCUUGGUGUUGGGCGUCUUGUCUCUAGCUUUGCUGGAGACUCGCCUUAAAGUAAUUGGCAGCCGGCCUACUGGUUUCGGAGCGCAGCACAAGUCGCACUCUCUAUCAGCAAAGGUCUGGCAUCCAUUAAGCCUUUUUUUCAACUUUUGACCUCGGAUCAGGUAGGGAUAUCCGCUGAACUUAAGCAUAUCAAUAAGCGGAGGA